rnacentral:rRNA from 1 species
UUCGCAUCGCCCGAAACGGAGACGAAAUUACCCCGCGUGAGCGAAAAAGGCCCUAGGGUGGUAAAGCUCUGUCGAGGGUUAUGAAGUAUGGAUGGGUUAAUACCUCAUUUAUUUGACCUGGCCCAAAAGGAAGUCACGGCUAACUCUGUGCCAUUCCCCGCGGUAAUACAGAGGUGGGGGCGUGGCCCUGUAUUAUUGGGCGUAAAGAGCACGUAGGUGGUUUUGUAAGUCAGGUGUGAAAGCCUUCUGUUCAAAGGAAGAACGGCAUCUGAAACUGCAGAUCUUGAGUGUAAGAGGGGAGAGUGGAACUUCUGGUGGAGCGGUGAAAUUGUCUGCUAUCAGAAGGAACUUACAGCGGCGAAAGCGACUCUCUGGCCUAUUGCUGACACUGAAGUGCGAAAGUUAGGGGACCAAACGGGAUUAGAUACCCCGGCCUCCCUAACCGCCUAUUUGGGCACUAAAUGUA